ensembl:lincRNA Gm26563 predicted gene, 26563
GAGACAGGGUUUCUCUGUAUAGCCCUGGCUGUCUGAGAACUCACUUUAUAGACCAGGCUGGCCUCAAACGCAGGGAUUAAAGGUGUAUGCUACCACUGCCUGGCUUAAUAUAGGCAAAUUCUUAACUGACCACAGCUAAUAAUGAUACUUGAUAAGACAAAGAGUAUUUCCUGAAUAAUUAAAGACAACCAAACCACAACUGAAUUACUCUAAGUCUAAAACAUUAAAACCAUUAUUUAGAUAGCAACAGUAUUUUUACCAAUAGUUUGUGCAGGUUUAACAGAACCAGGCUUAUUUUCCUGAUGAAGGCUCUCUGAAUUUCUAGUGGCAAGAGGCUUGGCAACAGGAGCUGUAGACUUAUCGUUGGUUUCUCCUGUCCAUCGAAGAGUAAAUUGUAAUGUAGGUCCCUGAGAAAAUGUCUCAAAUGGAGGCAGCCUCUAAACAAUACAUAAAAUAGGACAGAGUUACGAUGACAUUAAGAUAUUACAGACAUGAAAUGAAGAUACUCAUUAUUGGGUCUGCAGAGAUGGCUCAGCAGCUGAGAACACUCCUUGCUUUUUUUUUUUUCCUUAAAAAAUAAAAAUCAAGGGCUGGAGAGAUGGCUCAGUAGUUUAGAAAACUGACUGCUCUUCUGAAGAUCCUAAGUUCAAAUUCCAGCAAUCACAUGGUAGCUCACAACCAUCCCUAACAAAAUACAAUGUCCUCUUCUGGGAUGACAGGCACAGUGUAUUUACAUAUAAUAAAUAAAUCUUUUUAAAAAAUUAUAUCAUUUAUUUGUUGUUCUAUUGGACUAUGGGAUCUUUUUGCUACUAUUACUAUUUUGAGACAGGGUAUUUUAGGAAGCACAGAUUAGCAUCUAUUUCACUUUCCUGAUGCUUCAGUCUUUAAGACCUAUACAAUAGUUUUAGAUCAGAGAAACAAGAACUUUCACCAUGGACUGGAGAGAUGGCUCAUUGGUUAAUAAGAGCACUGACUGUUCUUCCGGAAGUCCUGAGUUCAAUUCCCAGCAACUACAUAGUGGCUCACAACCAUCUAUAAUGGGAUCGGACACCAUCUUCUAGUGUGUCUGAAGGCAGCAAUAGUAUACUCAUAUAUAUAAAGUAAAUCUUAAAAAACAAAAAAUUUCAACAAAUGAUCUCAAAUUUCCUCAUUAAUUACUUCUCUUGGAGACUAGCUUUGAAAACAUGUGUUCAGGAAACCUACUUGUUUUACUGUCUGAAGUAAUUGGGAUUAAAGAUAUGUGCUACAACAUCUAUUCACUGCGGUUAUGGUAGCCUUUGUUCUAAGUCUUAGGUUUUUACUAUUGUUUAGCAUUUCAAAAUCUACAUGGUUUUAAAAUUUGGAUUAUUCUCUCAGAAGACCUCAAUGUGAGAUUACAAGAAAAAAUUUAAUGCACCUAAUCUUAAAACAGUGGUUCAUAAAUAUACUUUCUUUACUAAAAGCAAUACCACGACUCAUCAAAUAAUUGGAACUCUCAGACUAAUUCAGAAAAGGAGAUUUUAAGUCUUAAGGAAAAUGUAAAUGGAAAAAAAAUAUCCUGGAAUCUGCUUGAAAGGACUCCUCAUACUCAAACUUGGGAUAAUUUGAGCAGCAAAAUAACAUGAUCAAAUGAAAAAUAACUCACUAAAAAUGUUAACCCACAUUGACAAAAAGCCAAAAAAAAUUCAAAAUAAAUCAUCCCUUUCACU